rnacentral:rRNA from 1 species
AUGCACGCUGGCGGCGUGCCUAAUACAUGCAAGUCGAGCGAACAGACGAGGAGCUUGCUCCUUUGACGUUAGCGGCGGACGGGUGAGUAACACGUGGAUAACCUACCUAUAAGACUGGGAUAACUUCGGGAAACCGGAGCUAAUACCGGAUAACAUGUUGAACCGCAUGGUUCAACAGUGAAAGACGGUCUUGCUGUCACUUAUAGAUGGAUCCGCGCCGCAUUAGCUAGUUGGUAAGGUAACGGCUUACCAAGGCAACGAUGCGUAGCCGACCUGAGAGGGUGAUCGGCCACACUGGAACUGAGACACGGUCCAGACUCCUACGGGAGGCAGCAGUAGGGAAUCUUCCGCAAUGGGCGAAAGCCUGACGGAGCAACGCCGCGUGAGUGAAGAAGGUCUUCGGAUCGUAAAACUCUGUUAUUAGGGAAGAACAAAUGUGUAAGUAACUAUGCACGUCUUGACGGUACCUAAUCAGAAAGCCACGGCUAACUACGUG